AGAGUUUGAUCCUGGCUCAGGAUGAACGCUAGCGGCAGGCCUAACACAUGCAAGUCGAGCGGGCUUCAGCAAUGGAGUCAGCGGCGGACGGGUGCGUAACGCGUACGGAAUCUAUCCUUGGUAGGGGGACAACAGUUCGAAAGGACUGCUAAUACCGCAUAAUGCAGCGGCAGCACAAGCUGACAGUUGUUAAAGCAGCGAUGCGACUAAGGAGGAUCGUGCGUCCGAUUAGCUAGUUGGUGGGGUAAUGGCUCACCAAGGCGACGAUCGGUAGCUGGUCUGAGAGGAUGAUCAGCCACACUGGCACUGAGACACGGGCCAGACUCCUACGGGAGGCGGCAGUGGGGAAUAUUGGGCAAUGGGCGCAAGCCUGACCCAGCCAUGCCGCGUGAGGGAAGAAGGGGCAUCGCCUUGUAAACCUCUUUUCUCUGGGGAUAAUGCGCAGUUAGACUGCGAGUGAAGGUACCAGGGGAAUAAGCACCGGCAAACUACGUGCCAGCAGCCGCGGUAAUACGUAGGGUGCAAGCGUUGUCCGGAUUUACUGGGUUUAAAGGGUGCGUAGGCGGGCGAAUAAGUCUGGGAUGAAAUGGCAGGGCUCAACCUUGUCGCUGUCUUGGAUACUGUUUGUCUGGAGUGUGAUUGAGGUAGCUGGAAUGAGUGGUGUAGCGGUGAAAUGCGUAGAGAUCACUCAGAACACCGAUUGCGAAGGCAGGCUACUGGAUCAUAACUGACGCUGAGGCACGAAAGCGUGGGGAUCAAACAGGAUUAGAUACCCUGGUAGUCCACGCAGUAAACGUUGGUCACUAGGUGUUGGCGGCAUGCCGUCAGUGCCCAAGGGAAACCGAUAAGUGACCCACCUGGGGAGUACGCCCGCAAGGGUGAAACUCAAAGGAAUUGACGGGGGCCCGCACAAGCGGUGGAGCAUGUGGUUUAAUUCGAUGGUACGCGAGGAACCUUACCUGGGCUAGAAUGCGCGUGACGGAAUCAGAGAUGGUUUUUCCCCGCAAGGGGCACAAAGCAAGGUGCUGCAUGGCUGUCGUCAGCUCGUGCCGUGAGGUGUUGGGUUAAGUCCCGCAACGAGCGCAACCCCUGUUGUCAGUUGCCAGCGAGUCAAGUCGGGCACUCUGAUGAGACUGCCUUCGUAAGGAGUGAGGAAGGGGGGGACGACGUCAAGUCCUCAUGGCCCUUACGUCCAGGGCAACACACGUGCUACAAUGGCCGGUACAAUGGGCAGCAAGAGCGUGAGCUGGAGCGAAUCCGUUAAAGCCGGUCUCAGUUCGGAUUGGAGUCUGCAACUCGACUCCAUGAAGUUGGAAUCGCUAGUAAUCCUGGAUCAGCUAUGCCACGGUGAAUACGUUCCCGGGCCUUGUACACACCGCCCGUCAAGCCAUGGAAGCUGG
rnacentral:rRNA from 1 species